GUGGGAUUCUUAAAUUUUCCAUUUAUCGUCUAAAAGAAAUGCACUAGAAAAUAACUGUUCUCUUACCUAUUGUUGCCUGUUCUGAUAACCUGAUUGGUUCCAGUUGUAAUGCUGAGAAAAAGUAAAAACCAAGUAGACAGUUGUUUUUAUGUUAGAUUUUAUUUUCUAUGCCUCUACUGCUGAGAAGCACAAGUGUUACAAUUUUUGCAUAGAUUACAAAAAUGAAAUGAAUGACUACAAAUAUACAAAAUAUUCUUAUGAAAAAAUACAAAAUAUUAUUGUUGACUAAAUCUAUUUAUAGAUUAAUUACAUUGUCAACAUAGAAUGGACAAUUAACACUUUUUCAUAAUUGUAAAACUAAUACUGACUACAUAUUGUGUCUCUUUAUGUUGAGUUUUAUUGGUAUUCUUAAACAAGUAGGCCCAAGAGAAAUAAAGAAAAUUGAAAACAUGAAUGAAUUUUUAGAAUAAAUUGGUCCCUAUAUUUCACAACUUUGCAGGAUUUAGGCCUAAAGUUUUAUGAUGGCUGAAACUUGUACAAAAACUUUCCCCAAUUUUUUUUUCAGUCAGCCUGUUACAAAUAAAACACCCAUAAUAAUCAAAAGAUAAAUAUUCACAAAAUGUGAAAUGCUUAUUACUAUGUUUGAAUGGAAGAACUUUCAGCAGCAAAUAAAUUCAAUGAUAAACAUGAAAUAAAAUGAUCUGCCAAUGAAUUACUUUCUAUUUCAUUGGUUUUUUUUUAUAGGACAGAACUUUUCAAGUAAGGAGGUUAUUGUGAUGUUUAAAACUUUGAAAUGUAGUUUAAAUUUGCAUGAGUAAAUAACUGAUUUUAAUUGGUUGACAUAACAAAAUUCAAAAAGUAUUGAUAAAGUUUGUUGUCAUUUUAUGUAUGUGCACCUUGUAUGGUUGAAAUUUCUGAUCAGAUGAUGAGAGUUCAUUAGACUAAUAAAGUGUAAUCAAAAUCAAUCAAAUUUGAAGUGAAUUAUUUUUCAGUUGAGAUAUGAAGGUACAUUUUAAAUAGCAAUGGUCAAUUAAAGUUGAUACAGAUCUUCGUUCUUAACACAAUCUAGUAAAAAGUAAGAAGAUCUAAUUGUCUAACGAGAAAAAACAAUAUUAAUAUUUAGAAAUUUACGGCAUCAAUAACUUUCCCUCAUAAAUUGCAGUAUUCAUCCCUUAUAAAAAUGUUUUAUCUCUUAUUCUCAGAAAUUUUUACUUUUGUUAUUUGUGAUAUCAAUAAAAACCUAAAAUCCUUAUUUCCAUGUGCACAACCUUCGAGAAGAUAGUAACAUUCAAUAUAGACUAUAAAGUAAUAGUCAUUUAUUUCAAACAUUUAGAAGACAGGAGACAAAAAUCAACAAGUUCAGUAAUUCAUUAACAAAUUUGUCAAAAUGGAUUGAUUCUUGAGAAAAGAAAAACUGAUUUAAUACCACAUUCAAAACACAAAACAGCAAUUUCAUUAAACAUAUUUUUUUGCUAAAAUCAGAUCUUAUAACAAAUAUAAAACAUAACUUAUUUAUAAACAAUAUAUAAUAAUAUCAUGUAAACCUCGGUGGAUUCUACAGGGCAAAUAUUGAGUUUCUUUAAAGUAUAACGACUUGUACAAGAUCUAAUAAAUAUAAUAAAUAAAAAAUUCUGUACAUUGUAUACAAUGUAAUAAAUAAAUAGUCAUCUACAGUUAUAAACAGAUGCUGCCCUCUAAGAAUAUACAAACUAUAUGUUGUAAAAUAUAAAGCUGAGGAAUUAUUUGGAGUUAUUUCCCUUUACAGUUAAUAUUUACACAGUAUUUGAAGCAUCCAAGUUGCCUCAUCAAAAGCACUGAUAAGAUAGUAUCAUGGAAAUUAAUAAGAUAAACUGUAAGCUUCCCAUAGCAGAGUAGAGACAAAGUUUACUUUAAAAUUUUGGUACAGGUUUAAAAUUAACCAUUGAAAACUAUUUUCUUUUUUUUGAUAUCAAACCCUGGAAACUUUAAUAUAAUUUUGAAGUCCUAAAGAAACAACUUCAGAAAAAGAGUGGCUAAACAAUGGUAGACUAAAGCAUUUGAACAGUGGAAAAAUUAGACCAAAAUAUACUUUUUACUGUUCAUUCAAUCAAAAAUGCCCUAUGAUACAAAACUUGUUACACUUUCAACUGUAUUUUAUGGAGAGUUUACUUAAGAGGGUGUCCAUGGAAAAACCAGGCAAAAUGUGGCACAUGCAUGACAUGACAUAUUUUGUUUUCAAAUUUUUUUUCAUCUAUUUCAUAUCACAAAUUCAUUCUUUCUUAAAGUUAAAUUUUUUUUUUUUAUUAACUGCAACAAAUAAUGAGAAAAAAAAUACAGAGAAAGCACUGAAAAUUC
rnacentral:lncRNA from 1 species